rnacentral:rRNA from 1 species
UAGGGAAUCUUGCGCAAUGGGCGAAAGCCUGACGCAGCCAUGCCGCGUGAAUGAUGAAGGUCUUAGGAUUGUAAAAUUCUUUCAGCGGGGACGAUAAUGACGGUACCCGCAGAAGAAGCUCCGGCUAACUUCGUGCCAGCAGCCGCGGUAAUACGAAGGGGGCUAGCGUUGCUCGGAAUUACUGGGCGUAAAGGGCGCGUAGGCGGAUGUUUAAGUCAGAGGUGAAAGCCCAGGGCUCAACCUUGGAACUGCCUUUGAUACUGAACAUCUUGAGUACGGGAGAGGUGAGUGGAACUCCGAGUGUAGAGGUGAAAUUCGUAGAUAUUCGGAAGAACACCAGUGGCGAAGGCGACUCACUGGCCCGUUACUGACGCUGAGGCGCGAAAGCGUGGGGAGCAAACAGGAUUAGAUACCCUGGUAGUCCACGCUGUAAACGAUGAGUGCUAGUUGUCGGCAUGCAUGCAUGUCGGUGACGCAGCUAACGCGUUAAGCACUCCGCCUGGGGAGUACGGUCGCAAGA